rnacentral:tRNA from 1 species
GCCGAAGUGGUGGAAUUGGCAGACACGCUAUCUUGAGGGGGUAGUGGCUAACCCCGUGCCGGUUCAAGUCCGGCCUUCGGCACCA